AUAAUUACAGUAAACCUAACCGAAUAUAAUUGUCAAAAUUACAGUACAAAAUAAUCUCUCUUGAUAACCUCACCGUUCUUGUCUUUCUCAUCCCUGCAUCUCUAUCAUUCUUGACAUCUGCCAAUCUAUUUGAGUCCAAGAAUCCAAUCGUUGUCUUCUUGUGUCCUCUAUCUCGACCGAGGGUUUUUGUGCCGCCGCGCUUUGUCUUCUCUCUCAGGUAUUUUACGAGUAAUUAAAUCUCACUCUGCUGCCGCUGCUGGUAUCCUUCUCCACACCUCUCUCCAUUUGAGUCCAAAGACAUUCCAUAUCUUUAUUCGUGUGCGCUCUCUUUGAGGAUUCUACAGAUUCACAAUGGAGAGUAGUUGUCUCUACUACAGCACGAGCUAAGUAUCACAUGGAACCAAUUAUUGAUGUCGACACUUACUUACAAAGUAAUAUUUGUGUUCCUCCUGAUAAUGUAGAAUCUGGUGACUUUGGUUGGGUUCGCGACGAUGUCGAUGGAAUUAAGGUUGACAUAUAAUAACAGUUUGGAGCUUGAGAAUCCUAAAUGCUAACAUGGAAAGUGGACAUACACUGAGGAGAAAAGGUAUGGCCAAUAGAAGUGGACUUAAAGUUUAUGAACCAGUUGGGUGGGAAUUGAAGCCAAUUGGCAGAGAUAGUGAUCAUAUAUCGCAACUGCCUUGGUGAAAUUGUGGCGGCUUUCUGUUUGCCGCUAGCUGCAAACUCAGGGCUGGAGGUUGAGAUGAAGGCUCUGUUGGAAGGUAUCAUGAGGGCUAAGAGCUAUGGUAGGCAUUUAUGGAUGGAAACGAAUGCGGAAAUAUUGUGUUCAAUCCUAGAUAAGGGUCACAGCUUGGGCCGGCAGAGACGAGACACACCAUGACAGAUAUCAGAAUCGCACUAAGAGUCUCACUAGGAGGAUAACACAUAUCCGGAGAGAAGGCAACAAAGCGGCUGACUUGCUGGCGUCUCUUGGAAAUGAGAGUGUGGAGCCAAAGAGAUGCACAGGAAGGUCAGCCCCCGGCCACAGUGAGAGCCUUGGUGAGACUUGACCAGAUUGGUAUGCCUAAUUUUAGGUUCACUUUACAUUCUUGGCUGUUUUGGUUGCGUGGUGAGGAUAGUUUUGAUUUUGUUCUUUCUUUCUGUCUAGUUACUUGAGCAUAGUUUUUUGUUCUUUCAUUAUGUAUAGUUUCUUGGGCACUUCACUUUUGGGUUUGUCGAAUUGUAACAAUUGGAUUUUUGUUAUUCAAAUUUAGCAUUUUAUUUGAA